rnacentral:tRNA from 1 species
AUAAUUUAAUUAAAAUAUUACAUUUUCAAUGUAAAAAUAAUACUAAGGUUUUU